GUGUCAGCCGCCGCGGUAAUACGUAGGGCGCGAGCGUUGUCCGGAAUUAUUGGGCGUAAAGAGCUCGUAGGCGGCUUGUCACGUCGGUUGUGAAAGCCCGGGGCUUAACCCCGGGUCUGCAGUCGAUACGGGCAGGCUAGAGUUCGGUAGGGGAGAUCGGAAUUCCUGGUGUAGCGGUGAAAUGCGCAGAUAUCAGGAGGAACACCGGUGGCGAAGGCGGAUCUCUGGGCCGAUACUGACGCUGAGGAGCGAAAGCGUGGGGAGCGAACAGGAUUAGAUACCCUGGUAGUCC
rnacentral:rRNA from 1 species